rnacentral:lncRNA from 1 species
AUCAAAAAGAUGUAAGUUUAAUUAAUUUACUUUUUUACCUAAACCUACUUCUGUUAGACUCUUUUUCAUUAAUUCUCUUCAUACUUUUUUUUUUUGGGACAUAGUCUGGAAAAAGAUCCCUUCACGAUACAAAGACAAAAAAAAAACUACUAGUUAAAAAAAGAGCGAGAGAAUAUGGUUUUGUUGACAGGUGAUGCUGUAAAGUUUUGGAUUCUAUGAGCUUCCAAGUUCUUGCAAUAUAAUCUUUUUAGUUUUCUUUCAGUGUUUAUCUUCACAUUCUAGAGAAUGUUUUCUAUGCAAAAAUUGGAGGAGUGGCAUCAAAGGGUUAAAGAAACAGGCCUAAAUAAUAUUGUCCAACGUACUAUAAAUUUAUAGUUGCUCAACUCUUG